rnacentral:rRNA from 1 species
AGUGGAUGGGGAGCAACCUAGUUGUGCGUGUGUAAAGGUAGUGCCAAGAAAAGCGGUGAUCAUGAUGAAAAUCAAUUCCCGGUACCCGAAACCGACACAGGUGGGCAAGUAGAGAAUACUAAGGGGCGCGAGGUAACUCUCUCCAAGGAACUCGGCAAAAUGACCCCGUAACUUAGGGAGAAGGGGUGCCACCGAGAGGUGGUCGCAGUGAAGAGGCCCAGGCGACUGUUUAGCAAAAACAUAGGUCUCUGCAAACUCGAAAGAGGAGGUAUAGGGGCUGACGCCUGCCCAGUGCCGGAAGGUUAAAGAAGUUGGUCAGUCUUAGGAUAAAGCUAGCGACUGAAGCCCCGGUGAACGGCGGCCGUAACUAUAACGGUCCUAAGGUAGCGAAAUUCCUUGUCGGGUAAGUUCCGACCCGCACGAAAGGCGUAACGAUCUGGGCGCUGUCUCGGAGAGAGGCUCGGCGAAAUAGGAUUGUCUGUGAAGAUACGGACUACCUGCAUUUGGACAGAAAGACCCUAUGAAGCUUUACUAUAGCUUGGAAUUGUGUUCGGGCUUCCUGUGCGCAGGAUAGGUGGGAGGCGAAGAAGGUAUUCUUGUGGGGAUACUGGAGCCGACGGUGAGAUACCACUCUCAGGAGGCUAGAAUUCUAACUUAAUUAAGGACAGUUCCAGGUGGGUAGUUUGACUGGGGCGGUCGCCUCCAAAAAGGUAACGGAGGCGUACAAAGGUUCCCUCAGACUGGUUGGAAAUCAGUCGCAGAGUGCAAAGGCAGAAGGGAGCUUGACUGCGAGAAGUACAGUUCGAGCAGGGUGGAAACACGGUCUUAGUGAUCCGACGGUGCUGUGUGGAAGGGCCGUCGUUCAACGGAUAAAAGUUACUCUAGGAUAACAGGCUGAUCUCCCCCAAGAGUUCACAUCGACGGGGAGGUUUGGCACCUCGAUGUCGGCUCAUCGCAACCUGGGGCGGAAGUACGUCCCAAGGGUUGGGCUGUUCGCCCAUUAAAGCGGUACGUGAGCUGGGUUCAGAACGUCGUGAGACAGUUCGGUCCAUAUCCGAUGUAGGCGUGAGAAUAUUGAGAGAGCCUUCCUUAGUACGAGAGGACCGGGAAGGACGCACCGCUGGUGUACCUGUUAUGAUGCCAAUUGUAAACGCAGGGUAGCCAAGUGCGGAGAGGAUAACCGCUGAAAGCAUCUAAGUGGGAAGCCCACCUCAAGAUGAGUAUUCUGGUGUAAGGUCACGGGAAGACGACCCGUAAAUAGGCACGAGGUGGAAGUGCAGAGAUGUAUGAAGCCGAAGUGUACUAAUAGACCGUCGGCUUGACC